CUUUUCUCUUACUCAUAGUGUCACUUCUUCACGCGGUUCUUUCUCUCCCUGUCUCUCUCUCUCUCUCUCACACACAGAGAAUCAAUCACUCGUACUACCCUCUCGGCUCCCUCAAAUCGAUUGUGAACCCGGUUCAACCCACCUUGGCCACGGAGGACAUGGGAGCCGGACGCUUCACACUGAACAUUUCUAGGGUUAAUGGGUCGGUGGCGAUCGAUACAGGAAUCGUUCAUGGGUUGGAGUCGAAUGUGAUUCGUUCAAGAAAUCCGAUCCGAAGCGGCUGGGAAUGGCGUACAGAGAUUCGUUCUUGCUUUUUGUUGUAUAGCAUUGUAUCUAUAGGCAUGUAUAAAAACCAAUUACAAGAAUUGGCUUAGAGAAGCUGCUUCAACCUGCCGUCUUAUUCAUGUAUUCGAGAAGGUCCAGAUCAUGCCCCCAGAUUUAAAGCCACUGUCAACUUUAAUGGCGAGACAUUUGAAAGCCACACGUUCUGUUCUACCUUGAGGCAAGCAGAACAUGCUGCAGCAGAGGUAGCUCUGACCACACUUGCAAACAGAGGCCCCUCUAAAGCCUUGGCUGCAAGAGUUUUGAUGGUUUUGUUGCGUAGACUUAUGGAUAAUCCAUAUUGGUGUAUGGAGAAGAAUUUUCACUUUUGUGUAGAACUAAUAUAAUACUUUUGUCGUCCUCAGUUUUUGUGUAGUUCAUUAUUACUGAUACAGAAAACUUUUGGCAA